AUUGAACGCUGGCGGCAGGCCUAACACAUGCAAGUCGAACGAGUGGCGGACGGGUGAGUAAUGUCUGGGAAACUGCCCGAUGGAGGGGGAUAACUACGGGAAACGGUAGCUAAUACCGCAUACCAUCGGAUGUGCCCAGAUGGGAUUAGCUUGUAGGUGUGGUAACGGCGCACCUAGGCGACGAUCCCUAGCUGGUCUGAGAGGAUGACCAGGCCAGUGGGAAUUGAGACACGGUCCAGACUCCUACGGGAGGCAGCUGUGGGGAAUAUUGCACAAUGGGCGCAAGCCUGAUACAGCCAUGCCGCGGGUAUGAAGAAGGCCUUCGGGUUGUAAAGUACUUUCAGCGGGGAGGCGUUACCCGCAGAAGAAGCACCGGCUAACUCCGUGCCAGCAGCCGCGGUAAUAC
rnacentral:rRNA from 1 species